rnacentral:rRNA from 1 species
GAGGAACCUGCCUUUCAGUGGGGGACAACAGUUGGAAACGACUGCUAAUACCGCAUGAUGCUUUUGGGAGACAUCUCCUGGAAGCCAAAGCUUUAAGUGCUGAAAGAUGGCCUCGCGUCUGAUUAGCUAGUUGGUGAGGUAACGGCUCACCAAGGCGACGAUCAGUAGCCGGUCUGAGAGGAUGAACGGCCACAUUGGGACUGAGAUACGGCCCAGACUCCUACGGGAGGCAGCAGUGGGGAAUAUUGGGCAAUGGGGGAAACCCUGACCCAGCAACGCCGCGUGAAGGAAGAAGGCCUUCGGGUUGUAAACUUCUUUUACCAGGGACGAAGGACGUGACGGUACCUGGAGAAAAAGCAACGGCUAACUACGUGCCAGCAGCCGCGGUAAUACGUAGGUUGCAAGCGUUGUCCGGAUUUACUGGGUGUAAAGGGCGUGUAGGCGGAGAUGCAAGUUGGGAGUGAAAUCCAUGGGCUCAACCCAUGAACUGCUCUCAAAACUGUAUCCCUUGAGUAUCGGAGAGGCAAGCGGAAUUCCUAGUGUAGCGGUGAAAUGCGUAGAUAUUAGGAGGAACACCAGUGGCGAAGGCGGCUUGCUGGACGACAACUGACGCUGAGGCGCGAAAGCGUGGGGAGCAAACAGGAUUAGAUACCCUGGUAGUCCACGCUGUAAACGA